GCGGAUGUGGUGGAAUUGGUAGACACGCCAGACUUAGGAUCUGGUGCCGCAAGGCUUGGGGGUUCGAGUCCCUUCAUCCGCA
rnacentral:tRNA from 1 species